rnacentral:rRNA from 1 species
UACGGGGGGGGCAAGCGUUGUUCGGAAUUACUGGGCGUAAAGGGCUCGUAGGCGGCCAACUAAGUCAUACGUGAAAUCCCUCGGCUUAACCGGGGGAACUGCGUCUGAUACUGGAUGGCUUGAGUUCGGGGAGAGGGAUGCGGAAUUCCAGGUGUAGCGGUGAAAUGCGUAGAUAUCUGGAGGAACACCGGUGGCGAAGGCGCAUCCUGGACCGAUACUGACGCUGAGGAG